rnacentral:rRNA from 1 species
GACGAACGCUGGCGGCGUGCUUAACACAUGCAAGUCGAACGGUGAUUCACCUUCGGGUGAUGAUCAGUGGCGAACGGGUGAGUAACACGUGGGCAACCCGCCCCUGACUCUGGGAUAACUCCUCGACAGAGGUGCUAAUACCGCAUACGCUCCACGGAGGAAAGCCGGGGACCGCAAGGCCUGGCACUGAAGGAUGAGCUCAAGUCGGAUUAGCUAGUUGGCGGGGUAACGGCCCACCAAGGCGACGAUCCGUAGCUGGUCUGAGAGGACGAUCAGCCACACUGGGACUGAGACACGGCCCAGACUCCUACGGGAGGCAGCAGUGGGGAAUAUUGGACAAUGGGGGAAACCCUGAUCCAGCGACGCCGCGUGGGUGAAGAAGGCCUGCGGGUUGUAAAGCCCUUUCGGUAGGGACGAAAGCUCUCGACCUAACACGUCGGGAGGUUGACUUAACCUACAAAAGAAGCACCGGCUAACUCUGUGCCAGCCGCCGCCGUAACAC